rnacentral:hammerhead_ribozyme from 1 species
GUAUUGCUGAAGAGUCUCAAGCUAGGACGAAACAGUUGUCCAGUAC